rnacentral:rRNA from 1 species
CGAAGGGAAACCGAGUCUUAAUAGGGCGACUAGUUGCAUGCCGUAGACCCGAAACCGGGUGACCUAUCCAUGGCCAGGUUGAAGCGGGGGUAAAACCCCGUGGAGGACCGAACCACGUUGCUGUUGAAAAAGCAUGGGAUGAGCUGUGGAUAGCGGAGAAAUUCCAAUCGAACUCGGAGAUAGCUGGUUCUCCUCGAAAUAGCUUUAGGGCUAGCCUCGGAAUUGAGAAUGAUGGAGGUAGAGCACUGUUUGGACUAGGGGCCCAUCUCGGGUUACCGAAUUCAGAUAAACUCCGAAUGCCAUUCAUUUAUAUCCGGGAGUCAGACUGCGAGUGAUAAGAUCCGUAGUCGAAAGGGAAACAGCCCAGACCACCAGCUAAGGUCCCAAAAUAUAUGUUAAGUGGAAAAGGAUGUGGGAUUUCUAAGACAACUAGGAUGUUGGCUUAGAAGCAGCCACUCAUUAAAAGAGUGCGUAAUAGCUCACUAGUCGAGAGAUCCUGCGCCGAAGAUGUCCGGGGCUCAAACUUACCACCGAAGCUACGGGUUCACACAUAAGUGUGAGCGGUAGAGGAGCGUCGUAAUCGGGCUGAAGUCGUACCGUAAGGAGCGGUGGACUGAUUACGAGUGAGAAUGUUGGCAUUAGUAGCGAGAUGUGGGUGAGAAUCCCACAGGCCGAAUAUCUAAGGUUUCCUCAGGAAGGCUCGUCCGCUGAGGGUUAGUCGGGACCUAAGCCGAGGCCGAAAGGCGUAGGCGAUGGACAAUCGGUUGAUAUUCCGAUACCACUACUGAUCGUUAUUAUCGAUGGUGUGACGGAGAAGGAUAGAGUGUGCUAGCUAUUGGAUGCUAGUCUAAGCGUUUAGGGAGUUAGGAAAGGCAAAUCCGUCCUAACAAUUCUGAGGCGUGAUGGGGAAGGUUCUACGGAACCGAAGUACUUGAUUCCAUGCUUCCAAGAAAAGCAUCUAGAGAGAGAUGUAGUGCCCGUACCGCAAACCGACACAGGUAGAUGAGGAGAGAAUCCUAAGGCCGGCGGAAGAAUCACAGUUAAGGAACUAGGCAAAUUGACCCCGUAACUUAGGGAGAAGGGGUGCCUGCGAGAGCAGGCCGCAGAGAAUAGGCCCAAGCAACUGUUUAGCAAAAACACAGGUCUCUGCUAAAGCGAAAGCUGAUGUAUAGGGGCUGACGCCUGCCCGGUGCUGGAAGGUUAAGGGGAACACUUAGCGCAAGCGAAGGUGUGAACUUAAGCCCCAGUAAACGGCGGCCGUAACUAUAACGGUCCUAAGGUAGCGAAAUUCCUUGUCAGGUAAGUUCUGACCCGCACGAAUGGCGUAAUGACUUGGGCACUGUCUCAACUGUGAAUCCGGCGAAGUUGUAGUGCGAGUGAAGAUGCUCGCUACCCGCGAUUGGACGGAAAGACCCCGUAGAGCUUUACUGUAGCUUAGCAUUGAAUUUCGGUAUUGUCUGUACAGGAUAGGUGGGAGACUGGGAAAUCAGGGCGUCAGCCUUGAUGGAGUCGUCCUUGGGAUACCACCCUGACAGUACUGAGGUUCUAACUGGAUGCCAUGAAUCUGGUGACAGGACAUUGUUAGGUGGGCAGUUUGACUGGGGCGGUCGCCUCCUAAAAGGUAACGGAGGCGCCCAAAGGUUCCCUCAGAAUGGUUGGAAAUCAUUCGAAGAGUGUAAAGGCAGAAGGGAGCUUGACUGCGAGACCUACAAGUUGAGCAGGGACGAAAGUCGGGCUUAGUGAUCCGGUGGUUCCGUAUGGAAGGGCCAUCGCUCAACGGAUAAAAGCUACCCUGGGGAUAACAGGCUUAUCUCCCCCAAGAGUCCACAUCGACGGGGAGGUUUGGCACCUCGAUGUCGGCUCGUCGCAUCCUGGGGCUGUAGUCGGUCCCAAGGGUUGGGCUGUUCGCCCAUUAAAGCGGCACGCGAGCUGGGUUCAGAACGUCGUGAGACAGUUCGGUCCCUAUCCGUCGCGGGCGUUGGAAAUUUGAGAGGAGCUGUCCUUAGUACGAGAGGACCGGGAUGGACUUACCGCUGGUGUACCAGUUGUUCUGCCAAGGGCAUGGCUGGUUGGCUACGUCGGGUUGUGAUAACCGCUGAAAGCAUCUAAGCGGGAAGCACGCUUCAAGAUGAGGGUUCCUGCAGAUGAAUCUGGUAAGGUCUCCGGUAGACGACCGGGUUGAUAGGCCAGGCGUGGACGCAUCGUAAGGUGUGGAGCUGACUGGUACUAAUAGACCGAGGACUUACACAA